GGUGACCUCGAUCAGG
rnacentral:rRNA from 1 species